CUCCGUGUGCUCGACCGGUUACUCGUGCUGCCUAGAAAGCAGAAACAACAUCAGCUGGACUGUGGAUUCUCUCAGGAGAGAGUGAGGCUCCUCAGGGAACUGAACCCCAUCGAGUUCUGAAGUUUACCCAUCAGCAGGAAGUACAACAGGCGUUGGCUCCGGGGCUGUAAAUUCACACCCAUCAACUCCCUUGGCAUUCCUAAACCUAUAACCACAAUGUUUGGCUCUAAUCCUUGGCACUCUGAUGUUGUCUUCCCUCUGGGCUCAUGACCGACCCACAGUCUGCUCCCUUGGCUGCUGUUGGCUGUGAUUCCCCCAUGGAACUCUCUUCUGCUCCUGAUAUCAAAGUCCUCAAAUUGCCUUUGGCAGAGGCAGUCUUUGGGUACAUGUUAUUGUCCCCAUUAUGUGUGAGAAGGCUUUCUUUUUGUCUAGCCUACAUCCCAUGUAGUGACACGAUGGACUAUGGAUCUGUUGCCACGGUCAAGCAGUGAGGAAUAUUAACUGAAGAGAACAAAGCUGGGCUCUACUGUCACCUUUGCUAGUCUCUGGCUGUUUAAUUUUUAGCAAAAUGCUUUCCCUCUCUGGGUCACAAAUGACCCAUCUAUACAGUAAAGAGUCCUGACCUAUGUGUCCUUGGGUGAGGAAAAUUGUACAUGUAUUCAUAUAUAGGUGUUUGAGGGUAUGUAUGGGUGUGAUUUGUGUGUGGCAAGAUAUAGGCACGUAGGUUUUUCUGAGAAACAGAUCCAGAACACACAAGAAAUUCUCAAGAAGGCUGUGAUGUAAAACAGAGCAGAGUACUGACUUGGAGCUCCUACCUUUAACCUGCAUUCAUUUGUGGACUCUCUGCCUCACUUGUAAGGAGACCCAAGUCCUGAAGUGUGUCCACUUCUCUCUACCUCUUUCAUCAUUUUUUUUCAGUUGUUUUGAGAACCGUGAAGAACGAGACAGACAAGAAACUCAGCAUACGCUGCUAGUGAGGCCAGCACAUCAGCAGAUGCAGCCCUGGACACAGAGACAGUGUCGUCCCUGAAGCCUGCAUGUCAGGCAGCGUCUGCCGCAAUCAGACUCCCAUUCACACUUCUUCACCAAAAAAACCCGAAGACGUGUCCUAAUUAGAUCCUGAACUGCCUGCAUAGACAUUGCAAUUCUCAAAUUUGAGUCUAUUGUUGUCUACAGUUCUGAUGAAGACUAUAGACCUUAGCACAGCUGGAGAAGAAGCCAGAACGGGUGUGAAGAGCCCUGACUUGGCUCUAGAGUGAAUCCAAAUCCC